CCUACGGGUGGCAGCAGUGGGGAAUAUUGCACAAUGGGCGCAAGCCUGAUGCAGCCAUGCCGCGUGUGUGAAGAAGGCCUUCGGGUUGUAAAGCACUUUCAGCGGGGAGGAAGGCGGUGAGGUUAAUAACCUCAUCGAUUGACGUUACCCGCAGAAGAAGCACCGGCUAACUCCGUGCCAGCAGCCGCCGUAAUACGGAGGGUGCAAGCGUUAAUCGGAAUUACUGGGCGUAAAGCGCACGCAGGCGGUCUGUCAAGUCGGAUGUGAAAUCCCCGGGCUCAACCUGGGAACUGCAUUCGAAACUGGCAGGCUAGAGUCUUGUAGAGGGGGGUAGAAUUCCAGGUGUAGCGGUGAAAUGCGUAGAGAUCUGGAGGAAUACCGGUGGCGAAGGCGGCCCCCUGGACAAAGACUGACGCUCAGGUGCGAAAGCGUGGGGAGCAAACAGGAUUAGAUACCCCGGUAGUC
rnacentral:rRNA from 1 species